UCGCAUGCCUUCCGAUAACACAAAGCCCCGCUUUGCAGCAUGUCCCUAUGGCCAUUGCUGUGCUGUGGCUUCUGCCACUACAGCUGAUCUGCACUGUCAGUAGCUUGACUGCUGGCUCUUGGGAGCCUGUGGGCGCCAAACCCAGCCCACCACCGACAGUUUAGGGCUGCUUUGUCCCUGUCAUGAAAAGAGUAGCAGCAGAGCAGGGAUUCCAGAGCAGAAAGAGGAGAGGCUCCUGGUCUUUAAUGAUACCUGUGAGCUAUGGAGUUAACCGGCCCUGGAGUCUUUCUAUUUCCACAUUUCUUACUAUGAAAUCAGGUGUGGAAGGCAGCAAAAGGGCUAUCUGUGCUCUGGAGGUCCACAGGAUCUGGUUGAAGGCUUGGAGCUCACUGUAAUGUCCCUCUUGAAUCUGCAUGAGGAGGCCAGGGGGUCUACACUGCAAGGCCAAAGGGCCUGUUCUGGAGGCUGAAAAGUCUGCAAAAAAUCUGCACUGGAAGCCAAGAGACGAUGCCCAGAGAGAAGGCGAAGUCUGGAGCUCCUCUGAGGAAACAGAAGUGAGCCUUCCUUCUUCCUGUUUCCUUGAUUCCAUUCAGGCUACAAUCCUGUUGGUUGCUGUCACUCACACCCAUGCUGAAUUUACCAUCUUCAGUCAGUCCCUUCAGCCACAGCCGAAACUACACUGAUCUAAUUUAGUUGGGCAUUUCUUAUCCAAGUUGAGACAGUCAGUUAGCUAUCACAGACAUAUUAAAAGAUAGCUACUUCAUAACAAGGUAAAUAGAAAUUAGAUUGAUACAGGCCAGAUGUGAUGGUGCAUGCCUAUAAGUCCAGUACUUGGGAGGCUGAGACAGGAGGAUCACUGUGAGUUUGAGGCCAGUUUAGGCUACAUAGUGAGGGCAAGGCCAAUCUGAACUACAUAGUGAGACCCUGUCUCAACAACACAAAAACAAAAACAUAAAUUGAUAUAGUAUCCAUUUUUCAAGUAUUAGAUUGGCAAUGUAAAAUUAACAAUAAACUCUUGGUAAAAGUAUAAAGGGAAGUUGGGUGUGUGAUGGUAUACAUCUGAAAUCCCAGUUACUGGGAAGGCUGAGGCAGGAGACUGCAAAUUCAAGGUCAGCCUGGGCAAUUUAGUGAGAACUUAUCUCGGAAAAAAAAAAAAAAAGUGAGGGGCUAGGAGGUUAGCACAAUGGGUUAAUGACCCUAGUUCAAUCCCAAUGUUGUAAAAAAACAAAACAACAAAUAAAAUGUAAAUAGAGAGGGGUUCUCAUGCAUUUCUAAUGAGAAAAUAAAUAUUACAACCUUAAGUAAGGUUAUUUGGAAAUAUC